rnacentral:tRNA from 1 species
GAAUGUAUAGUUUAAUGUAAAAUUUAAUAUUGAAGAUAUUAAGAUGAUUUUUCUGUAGCUAUAAGCAU